rnacentral:rRNA from 1 species
AGUGAACGCUGGCGGUAGGCCUAACACAUGCAAGUCGAACGGCAGCACAGUAAGAGCUUGCUCUUACGGGUGGCGAGUGGCGGACGGGUGAGGAAUACAUCGGAAUCUACUUUUUCGUGGGGGAUAACGUAGGGAAACUUACGCUAAUACCGCAUACGACCUACGGGUGAAAGCAGGGGAUCUUCGGACCUUGCGCGAUUGAAUGAGCCGAUGUCGGAUUAGCUAGUUGGCGGGGUAAAGGCCCACCAAGGCGACGAUCCGUAGCUGGUCUGAGAGGAUGAUCGGCCACACUGGAACUGAGACACGGUCCAGACUCCUACGGGAGGCAGCAGUGGGGAAUAUUGGCCAAUGGGCGCAAGCCUGAUCCAGCCAUACCGCGUGGGUGAAGAAGGCCUUCGGGUUGUAAAGCCCUUUUGUUGGGAAAGAAAAGCAGCAGGUUAAUACCCCGCUGUUCUGACGGUACCCAAAGAAUAAGCACCGGCUAACUUCGUG